rnacentral:rRNA from 1 species
CCUACGGGGGGCUGCAGUGGGGAAUAUUGGACAAUGGGGGGAACCCUGAUCCAGCCAUGCCGCGUGUGUGAAGAAGGCCCUCGGGUUGUAAAGCACUUUCAGUGAGGAAGAACGCCUGGUGGUUAAUACCCAUCAGGAAAGACAUCACUCACAGAAGAAGCACCGGCUAACUCCGUGCCAGCAGCCGCGGUAAUACGGAGGGUGCGAGCGUUAAUCGGAAUUACUGGGCGUAAAGCGCGCGUAGGUGGCUUGAUAAGCCGGUUGUGAAAGCCCCGGGCUCAACCUGGGAACGGCAUCCGGAACUGUCAAGCUAGAGUGCAGGAGAGGAAGGUAGAAUUCCCGGUGUAGCGGUGAAAUGCGUAGAGAUCGGGAGGAAUACCAGUGGCGAAGGCGGCCUUCUGGACUGACACUGACACUGAGGUGCGAGAGCGUGGGUAGCAAACAGGAUUAGAUAGCCGAGUAGUC